rnacentral:rRNA from 1 species
UAGCUGUGAAGCGGAUCCGUAAGGACCGUUGGAGCAAUCAGAAAAGACUUUGUCGGCAUUAGUAGCGAUAACGUAUGUGAGAACCAUACGCACCGAAAACCUAAGGUUUCCUGCGUCAAGUUAAUCUGCGCAGGGUUAGUCUGUACCUAAGGCGAGGCCGAGAGGCGUAGUCGAUGGAUAACGGGUUGAUAUUCCCGUACCCGUGUGUGAGCGUCCCUGAUGAAUCACCGGUACUAACCGCCCAAAACCAGCGUCACCAAUCACCUUCGGGUGUGCGGGUUGCUGGGGCUGCGCGGGACCUUCGGUGGUAGUAGUCAAGCGACGGGGUGACACAGGAAGGUAGCCGUACCAGUCAGUGGUAAUACUGGGGCAAGCCGGUAGGGAGACAUCUAGGUAAAUCCGGGUGUCACAUAUCCUGAGAGGUGAUGCAUA